UACGGAGGGGGCUAGCGUUGUUCGGAAUUACUGGGCGUAAAGCGCACGUCGGCGGAUCAGUUAGUCAGGGGUGAAAUCCCGGGGCUCAACCCCGGAACUGCCUUUGAUACUGCUGGUCUGGAGGUCGGGAGAGGCGAGUGGAAUUCCGAGUGUAGAGGUGAAAUUCGUAGAUAUUCGGAGGAACACCAGUGGCGAAGGCGGCUCGCUGGCCCGAUACUGACGCUGAGGUGCGAAAGCGUGGGGAGCAAACAGG
rnacentral:rRNA from 1 species